rnacentral:lncRNA from 1 species
AAAGCACUAGCAUAUGAUGUCUGAAAAAUUACACAACAGCCUCAGACUGGUCGGACCCUUCAGGAUGAAUUCCGGAAGAAGACAUUGCUGUCAUAGGAGAUGACAGCUCCAAGCGUUAUUACCCCUUCAUGAAGAUGUUUCAGUGGGACAAGAUGUGAAGGUGGAAGACAAUGAUAUUGAUGAUCCUGACCCUGUGCAAGCCUAAGCUAAUAUGUGUGUUUGUGUCUUAGUUUUUAACAAAAAGUUUAAAAAGCAGACAAAAAAAUUGU